rnacentral:tRNA from 1 species
AGGAGUAUAGUUAAAAAUAACAUUUGUUCCGCAAACAAAAAGUAUUGAAACUUCAAUUUCUCUUA